GAUGAACGCUGGCGGCAGGCCUAACACAUGCAAGUCGAGCGAGCGGCGGACGGGUGAGUAAUGUCUGGGAAACUGCCUGAUGGAGGGGGAUAACUACUGGAAACGGUAGCUAAUACCGCAUACCAUCAGAUGUGCCCAGAUGGGAUUAGCUAGUAGGUGGGGUAACGGCUCACCUAGGCGACGAUCCCUAGCUGGUCUGAGAGGAUGACCAGCCACACGGGAACUGAGACACGGUCCAGACUCCUACGGGAGGCAGCAGUGGGGAAUAUUGCACAAUGGGCGCAAGCCUGAUCCAGCCAUCCCGCGUGUGCGAUGAAGGCCUUCGGGUUGUAAAGCACUUUUGGCAGGAAAGCGGUACCUGCAGAAUAAGCACCGGCUAACUACGUGCCAGCAGCCGCGGUAAUUC
rnacentral:rRNA from 1 species